UGGUAUUUCGUUUGGCAGGCGUUGAGCCACUGCCACAGCCCGGAUUUUCCUGCAGGCAGAGCCCGGCCUUGUUUUGACAGUCAUUUCUGCUGCUUUCUGCUUCUGCCUGGAAGGAUCACACAGUUGCAGAGGUCUGGGGAGGGAUGCACUUGCGGAGAUUCAAAUUGUCAAAGGAAGCUUCCAUCAAAACAAUUAGGAGACCUCAGGCUGUUGUCUUCUGGAAACUUCCUUCGACCAGCAACAGUUUCCCACCCACCAUGCCACUCCCAACAUCCAAAUGGUUUCCAAAGCUGCAGUCAGGCUAGUACAAAUGGGGCUUCUGUCACUUGAAACCGAAAGAGUCCUAGGAAUGUCACCUGACUCCCUUUCACUCACUGUGAGCUGUGGAAUCCCUGUGACUGCACUCCGUCAGCUUCUUGUUUACAGGUGGGCUCGCUUUAAGAAAGCUUGAUAUAUUAAAAAGCAAAUAAUCAAGUCUGAAAAAUU
ensembl:lincRNA